AGUGAACGCUGGCGGUAGGCCUAACACAUGCAAGUCGAACGGCAGCACAGGAGAGCUUGCUCUCUGGGUGGCGAGUGGCGGACGGGUGAGGAAUACAUCGGAAUCUACUCUGUCGUGGGGGAUAACGUAGGGAAACUUACGCUAAUACCGCAUACGACCUACGGGUGAAAGCAGGGGACCUUCGGGCCUUGCGCGAUUGAAUGAGCCGAUGUCGGAUUAGCUAGUUGGCGGGGUAAAGGCCCACCAAGGCGACGAUCCGUAGCUGGUCUGAGAUGAUGAUCAGCCACACUGGAACUGAGACGCGGUCCAGACUCCUACCGGAGGCAGCAGUGGGGAAUAGUGGAAAAUGGGCGGAAGCCUGAUCCAGCCAUACCGCGUGGGUGAAGAAGGCCUUCGGGUUGUAAAGCCCUUUUGUUGGGAAAGAAAUCCAGCUGGCUAAUACCCGGUUGGGAUGACGGUACCCAAAGAAUAAGCACCGGCUAACUUCGUGCCAGCCGCCGCCGUAA
rnacentral:rRNA from 1 species